rnacentral:lncRNA from 1 species
UCACUAAUGCUCUUUCUGAACAACAUUUUAAAAAUAUUUAGAAUAAAUUGGAAUAGCAGAUAUUUCUUUUUCCACUGGAGUCAGUCUUUAUCAGGAUAAUAUAUUACUGUUUCCAUUUUCCUCCUUAUUGAUAAUGUUGUCAUGAACAAAGAACAUCUGAAGUCCAAUGUGUCAAAUUCCCAGUGCUUCAUAUUUAGUAUAUUAAAGAUAGAGGAUUGUGUUCCUUUGACACUCAUUAAUUAUAUGCAGUUUGGAUGACAUUUACAUUCUAGUUGAUUACAUAUUAUAAAACCUGACACUUUUAAAGCUCUAGAUGAUAAAAAUAUAUACUUGAAUAUUAAUUUGGGCUCUUGCCAAAUUACAUUGUACAACUGUGAUUUUUCUACAGUAUUUUGGGCCUUGGGCAAUAGCAACAUGGAUAUAAAUAUUUAAAAUGUUUAAUGAAUGUCUUUACUGAGUACUGCCAUGAUGAAUGUGUGAUAUAUUUAUCUUACAUACAUUUUAGGCCAUUAAUGCAAGUUAUUAAAGUCUUAGUUUAGCCUGGAUACCAUCUGCAGUAUGUGCCAGAAAGAUUAGUGUCAGAGUAGUUCCUAAGUCAUACAAGUUUUAUUUAACUAGCUCUCUGAAUAUUUAUUAGAAAAGGACACUUGUAAAUAUUGACAUUUUUAAAACAAAUUCAGUUAAGAUGAAUCAUAUUUAGGGAAAACUGUUUGAAGUGCAUAGGACUUAUUUUAGAUUACAAAUAUUCCACACUGGAAUCCUGAAUAAAUCAAUGUGAGAUGUGAGCCGCAUAUAAUUUUUACAAGUUCAUUUAAGUACUUAUGUUUUUAGUAUUGAGCCUAUAGUGUCUUUGAUUCAAAUGCAGAAUUCUGUCUUUGCCUGAUGAUUGUACCGGUAGCUCUUUCUUCUCUUCCCUCCUCUUUUUCCUUCUUCCUCUUUCCCUUUCCCUUCUUUUUUCUUUCAGUGAUAGUUGCUGAAGUGAUUUUAAUUGUACUCUAAAAGUCUCUGUGAUGCCUUAAUUGAAUACUUCAUAGUUAAUUUUUACCCCUUUUCCCACUAAAAAGGGCUCUAUAUAGUAAAUUCUUAAAGGAAACAUAAUUUCCCUGAUUUAUCAUAUUUUAAUAUCAAUAAAUAACUCAGCAUACCAAUAUUAACAAUAUGAAUAGAUGGAAUAUGCCAAAAAAUCUCAAAUUUGUAGUUCUUUAUAAAUAUUUUUCACUCCCAUUCUCUCACUUCAUCUUUUUGAUAAUCAAAUAAAGUGUGCAGUGGAAACAUCUUAAUAUAUCUUUUGUAGACUCCUAAGUGAGAAACAGUGGUUUUCUGGCAUAUUUCAAAUUUUUGUCUAGUGAGUAACAGAAUCUGAUCUUGAAUGGGCAUCUUGUUGAUUUCCCCACCCUUGCUACCUGUACUAGAUAAUUCUUCUUUUUCUGAGGAUUCACUCAUCCUCAUUUUCCCCGCUAUGGAUAAUCCUCCCACUGUUUUUCUGAACUGCUCCUAUUGCCACUUCAACAUUUCAGUUCUCAUUUGAAAUUCCCAUCUUCAUGGGGCACCAUCUUAAUUAAUGGCCAAUAUUAAUUCUCCCACAAGUGACUAUCAAUCCAAAUCUAGCAGUCAAGGGUCCUUCCUCAUGACUUCUCACAAUGCACUAAGAAAGUGUCACUCCUUUAUGAAUGGCUACUUUGGGAUGUAAGAAAUGAGAAUUUUCUCUAGUCAUUUUUCCCAUUAAGAAGCCAGUCUACAAUGACAGAUAAUGUUGAUAUUCAAUGAAAAUGGUGUAAAAGACAGAGAGCAUGUUAGACCUGAUUCAUCUCCUGAUUCCAAUUACUCCUGAGUCACAGCUGUAUUCCUGCAUGUCUUACUAUUAGAUGAUUCAAUCUUAUGGGAAAUAUUCAAAGUUACUCAAUAAGCUCUCAAUAAAUUUAACUUUUGGCUAUAACAUUUUCCAGUUAGAUUAUUAACUGUUUAAACAAAAAAUGCAUUGACUAAUUUGCUACGUAGAAUGAAUUAUUAGUUUUUAGAAUAUCACUUAAUUUAUUGUCUCUGUGUCUGUAUUUUUAAAAUAUUAUUUUUGUUGAUUAAUCUUAGGCUAACAAUGUGCAUCCUUUGCAUAUCAGAUUCUAAUUACAUUUAAUUUAUACUUUAUACACUUUCAACCUGAUAUUUCACACUUCACAGUAUCAUGCUCUUCAUUACCUGCCCCAUCUGUUACAGAACUAUUGUUAUAACUUUCAUUUUUACAUAUAUUAUCAAUCCCACUUUUUGAUGUUGCCAUGGUUGGCAGCUGUUUCCUUAUGCAAUGUAAAGUUGGGCUAAUAGGUAACUUCGAAAUCUAUAUUUUCAUUUGCUAGAUGGACAAAAUAAUUGAAUUGCCUGGAUGAUGUACCCAUGAUUGAUUGAUUUUGGUGUUUUGGUAUUUUGACUUGUGGCCCUUUAGGUUUCCAGAACCUUUACAACUGAGCUAAAGUAAAUGCUGUUGGAAUAACAAAACUAGAGGACUGUACCUGCUUGUAAACUAAUGAGCAUAAUUAUAUUGUCUGAUUCUUCUCUUUGUCCAAAUUCUGGCCUUUGGGUGAUUUCUCAAUAUUGACAGGAAAAGGAAUAGAGUGGUUCUAUAGCCAAUAUGAGAGGAGCAGAGACUGCUCUGUCUGCAGUUAAUAAUGAAUCUAAAAUCUUUGUAACUUUCCAAUAUAUAUCUUAUUUCAGUGAAAAGAUUUAUGAUUGCUACUCUGACUCUCAAUACAACAAAAUGGGGAAAUAUGUUGAACUACAGAAUCCAGAAACAAGUUUCCUUGGAGCCAGAUGAGGAUUAAAAGACCCACAUUUGAUGAAGAUAUUUUAAAUACCCUCUGUUAAAGUCAAUGUUCCUCACUAAUCCAUAAUAACUCUGUAAUGAAACAUCUUGUUUCUCCACAAGGUCAUUAUCAUAACCUUUAUCAUUUUGCAUAAUGUCUAUUUAGUUUAUGUCCCACCUAAAUGAUCACAGAACUCUUAAGGUUGAUAACAAUGCCAUUUUUAUUAUAAGCUCAGAAUUUAUCAUGCUGUUUAGUAAGUAGUGAACAGUAAAGAUUUGCUGAAUGUUUAGCCAAAGUCAACUCACUAGAACAUUAGAACCAGACCUAGAUUUUAUCAUGUGACUCUAGAUUCAGAGCUCUUUCCAAAAACAACCUCCUAAUUGGAUCUGUUAAAAGUGAGAUAAAAGGAAAUAAAGAUUUAGUUCAUCAAGAAUUUUCUGUUUGUAUUUAUGUGUUCAGUUUUAAGUACUUUUAUCGUGAUGUGCACAUGAGAUGUUCUGAAUAAUAUUUCUAAUUAAAUACUUUAGAGUAAAUAGAUAUCUUGAUUUCCAUUUCCCUUGGACUUUACCAGUAACCAGUAUGAUGAAAGCCAAGUUAAUUGUCUUGUCUAACUAAGUAGAUGGAUUUCCUGCAGAUGAGCAUUAAUGAAAAAAUACUACAUCUUUUUUUCCUGUUUAUAAACAUAAAGGAGAAGGUCUUCCCCUUCCUUUCCCUGAAAGAAUCUCUUCCUUGAUUAGCACUUUUAUAUGAAAUGAAAUUUCUUCAGGAGUCCUAUAGCCCUAUAGCCAGAAGAGUCUGGGUUUUUAGGAUACAGGUGACUUAUCCUCUUUGAAAGGUUAACCCCAAGCCAUAAGCUCUUCUAGUUCUCUGGACACAUUGUGGGUUUUACCAAUGAUCCUGUUCCCAGGCUGUAACCAUUUGCCUUGUUGGGAAGAGACAAGUUCUGUUAUAACUUAUCAGAGCAGUUAGCUAGACAAAUGGCUCUAGAUCUAAUUCUUCUGAUAAGUCAAGAGUCUUAGAAAAUCUAGAUUUGUUUGUUUGUUUAAUAAGAACUCAGAUGAAUACAGGAGAGCUUUGUUUUCCCUGAAAAGUAAAAGCUUCUUUGGAGGAGAUGGAGUACAAUGAAAAAGGGAAAGAAGAAAGAAAAGAGGGGAAAAAACAGGAAUAAGAUCAGAGAAAGAGAAAGAAAGGGAGGGAGAAGAGAAAGAAGAAAACAAAUACCAUAUGGUGACUGACUUGCUUAAUAUUGUUUUAACUAGUCAGAAAAGCAAAGAUUGUUAAAAACAAUUCUAACAGAGUACAGUUGAUAUGGAAACCCAAGUCUUCUCAUGUCCAAGAUUCAAUGGCUCAGAAUUCUCUCAAGAGAGAUGUUGCUUUGUGAUACCUUUUAUGAAAGCAUUUCUCUUAUUUAUUGGAUGGAUAUGGUAUAAUCAGAAAAAAAAUAAUCUAGAAAAAAAUUGUUUUUCUAAGUCUAGAGAUUAUAUUUUCAUUUUUUAAUGACUGUUCAGAAGGGAAAUUAGUUAUUGGUUACUAAUUUAAGAAAACUGUGGUUAUUAUUAAUAAUAUCCAUAUAAACACCUAGAAUAAAAUUAUAUUUUACAACAUUCAUUUUGGGAUAAUUUCACACCCUGUUUAUAAGAUAUGUUCAUAUUUUAUUGAAUAAUUAUAAAAUUGUCUGGAGAAGGUAAAACCUGAGCAAACCAUUCAGAUUUAUGAUUAUGAUUACUUUAGGACAAUAUUCUACCUCAUUUUUUAUUUGACAGAGAAAUUAACAUAAAAAACGGAUUUUCAGUCAAGGUCAC